rnacentral:pre_miRNA from 1 species
GUAGAGAAUUGGGAGAUAUAGUCAAGAUGACGCGACUCUCGUGGAGAGUACUUAUCCGAAGAUGACUUCAUCGAAAACGUCAGUGGUUUAUGGUCGGUGAAUAUUGCAAAUUCCCGGCCUUUGAUGGAAUGUUGAAAAUGAC